GUCAUUUACCCUGUUUCUGGGCCCUUCACCCAUUCUACAGGGACACCAGCCAUGGUCUCUGCCCCUGGGAGCAUGCCAGAAACCUGUGGCCUGGGCAGUACAAGCCAUUACCCUGGGCAGGGCUCAUGCUGCAAAAGGGAUGCAUGUUGGCAAGCUAUGCUCACUGCUUUCUGUCUGCAGAAAGCUACAGAAAAGCAGAAGAAAGGCUGGGAUUUGGAGCUGGACAUUAAGGUUCUGUGUCUUCAUAGCUCCAUGUGGCUCUGAGCAAGUUGCUUAACCUCCAUGAGCCUCAACCUCCACAAGUGUGAACCAGAAAAACUACCACUGCUGAUGGCAUAAUAUAUUGGGAGGGUGAGGACUACAUCCACAGUCUGGAAGACUGCUGAGCAAGAGCAGGCUCCUUUAAAGUCUCCCAGUGGUGACAGUGGGAGCAGAAGAGAGGAAGUUGAUGAUGAUGAUGAUGAUGAUGAUGAUGAUGAUGAUGAUGAUGAUGACAGAACUAAAGGAAGUGACAUCCAUGCCGAGGCGCCUCUGCUCUGUUGAUGCACAUGAGGCAUGAAUGGGAAAUGUCUCUACUCCCAGCCACUACAAGACAGCAUGCAGCUGAGCCCUAACAACUAGGCAUUAAUCACUCUUUCAGGAGAAAAGGAAAGCUAACAAAGCUCCAGGCACAACUGGAAGACAAAGUGUAAGCCCUGGUACCAGCACAGGGAACAAGGGGGCUGAAGCAAGAAGGACCCACAUCUUGGAACACACUAAAGGAAGCCCAGUUGCAUCACUGCCACUGACAACUCAGCAUGAAAGGGAUCUGUGAGUACGACCACUCUGUGGCCUUGUGGGUAUGUAGCACAUCUCUGCUUAGUGGGAGCUUUGGCUCGGUCUUGAUGUUGUAACAGGUUUUUUGUUUUUGUCUUUGUCUUUGUCUUUGUCUUUGUCUUUGUCUUUGUCUUUGUCUUUGUCUUUGUUUUGGGUACUGGGAAUCGAACUCAUAACCUCAUGUUUGCCACGCAGGCAUUAUACCACUGAGCUAUAUCCCUGGCCAUCAUAACAUCUUUUUAACAUUUCUAUUUCACCUAGAAAUUCGCCACUCUGUUCCUCACAGCUGAUGUAAAGACUGACUCCAGUGUAGAUUUUGUCAAAAUAUAACAAGCUCAAAGGGAAUCUAUAUGAUUUUCCUUUCUUUGGAGCCAUGUUCUCCAACAUGUAUGAACAUCCCCUGCCCUCCAUUCAUCCAUGACUUUAUUUUGGGCACAGAGACUCCUUAGAGGGCCUAGAACCUGGAGCCUUCCCCAGGCACAGGCUAGCCUGGACUUGUCCCAAGAGGGUCUCUUGUCUGGUAAAGAAAUCACAUGCCAGAACUCUCUCACCACUGGCUCUUCCUGCCUCCAUCCUGCCAGGGGACCCAGUUGUCCCCAGACCUCCUGUGUGCUCUGUACAGUGUGGGAUGAGCUGGUCUCUGCUAACCUGACUGGGCUACACACAUUUCUGCCUGAUUUCUUGCCUAUCCACUAGACAGUAUUGCCCAGGGCCUUUGUCCUCCCAGGAGAACUCAAAUAGCUGCAGGACUCGUGCUGGCCAGCUGUUUCUGGAGAUCAGGCUGUCUCUGGCCAACUUCUGGUAAACUGGAAGGUCAAACAUCUUGAGGCUCAGACCUUGGUCCCCGGGGCCCCUGAGAUAAAAGUCCAUGUCCUAGUGCUGAGGGACCAUCCACACUCUCUAGUCCCUCUUCUGAGGGCAGUGGCAAGCAUGCUUCAUCCCAGUGGGGCUCCUGAGCUCCCCUGAAGUCCCUCCAUGAAUCCCAGCAUGCAGUAGUUACUCAACAAGGGCUUUCCAAGGAGCCCAUAUCCUGAGGCUAUCCCCAGCAAGGGACCUCUGUGCCAACUCCUGGAGUGACAGCUGCCACUGGGAGAUAUGUAAGUUGGCGGGCACUCCCUGCCCUUGGGCAGUAUCCACAUGCACUCUAGGGAUGGCACUGUGCAACCCACACACAAACAGCAAUGCCCAGGCCUCAGGGCCAUUCUCAGUUUUGAAGAAGUGUCUCAGGGGACAAUUUCAGCAUGGUUAAAUCCAAAUUUUGACAGUAGGGAAGAACUUUUUUUCUUUUUUCUCUUUUUUAAAUUAAAAUACUCAAGAUAUCAAAUUCAGAUAAACCACUUUAAAAUGUUCUUCCUGACUCCAUGUAAGAAGCCAGACCAAGAAUUCCAUCAGUUUCCAUCUGACACUAUAGCCACAGUGCUUGCUGAGGAGGCCCGAGGCUGCCCUGUAGUCCCUCCUGCGGCCUGUACUUCUCCCCCACCUUCUCAGGGAGUGUGCCCAUCCUGGUGCUCUAGCUUUCACCAUACAGAAAACACAUGAAAAACUACUGAGAUCUGGCUUCGCAUGGUAUCAUUUCCCUCGUCCCCACCCACAGCUGAGCUAUCAAAACCUGAGUAGUGGAGGAGUGGACUGCAGUGUGGACAUGAGGAGCCGAGAGCUCAGACUUGCAGUGAACGACCACGGGAGGAAACAGGAGAGCCUGCUGAGAGCCACCACAUACCCAGGGAGGUGGGGCUGAGGACCAAAAGCCUCAGGACCACUUCUAGUGACUGCUGAGCUCCUAGAAAGACCCAGGCAAAGAGGACACCACAGAUCUGACUACACUUGUAUGUCAGGCCUACAGUUCAGACCAGCUUCUGCAUCUUGUUUUCUCCAAAGCUUGGCUCUCGCUCUCUAAGACAGACUCACAACCAAGUAGGUGUGUUUCCAUCCCACAGAGGCUUUCAGCAAGGCCAGGCCCAAUGUGCCUCCAGCGCUCAGCCUGAAGGUGGGGUGAAGUUGAGGACAGAGCUCAAAAGAAGGCACUGAUCACAGCCCAGCACAUCAACAAGGCUUACCCAGGAGGUUUGGGGUUGCUGUUUAAAGCCUUUAAAAUAACAGCAGAAAAAAACAAGACUUCCAUGAGGGAAGAGAAAAGCCACACCUAGAGGCAGCUGGGCACACUUCCACCGUGUCUGUCUCUAGCCAUUUAGAAAAAAGGAAAUGAGACGUGAUGUUUGAAAAGUGGGAAAAAAAAAAACAAGAAUUAAGAUACUUUAGAGCCACAGAGCUGUGCCAGCACUGCCACAGUGAAGUGCUGCUGUUUUGGAAAAUGGCGCAUUAUUAGCAACCACCUGUGUGGACCCAGAGCUCCCUGAAACCCCAGCCUUUGCCUAGCCCCAUGUAUCCAUGCACCCGAAGCCCCACCUCGACGCAGGAUGCUCCACUCUGUGGCCUCCGUCUUGGCUAUGCAGCUGCAAGUGUGCUGCAGAGGAGGCAAUCGAUCACUGCACACAGGUCAGUCCUACUCCAUGGCAGCCUGGAACCUGCAAAGCCUUGAGGGUUGUUGGGGUGGAGGCCAUGGGCUGUGAUUACCUGGCUACAGCCACAGCCCCUUGCACCUGCUCCAUCUCCCAUGGCAGGAGCAUUUCUCCCCACUCCCUGGCCUGGCACCGAACAUCAGUGUUGCUCUGGGGAACUGCUCCAGUGCUCAAAUGGGCCCGCUGUGUGAGGCCCAACCAGGAGCAGUGCUGACCAAAGGAAGGCACCCCCUCAGUGGUCCCCAAGACCAACGGACAGAGUUGCAUGCUGACCAUCACUGGGAUCACUGUAGAUGUGUCACUUCUGCAUAGCACAAUCCUGCUUCUACAAGAAGAAGCUGCCAAGACAGAAUCAACUGCAGAGUUUUACUGGAGCCAUGCCCAUGAUUGGUGGGGACUCCUGGUGCUUGGUAUGUAGCCCAGCAGUUAUCACAGCUCUGUUCCCACACACACAUUCACCUGCAAGGAGAUGGGCCUCAAAGUCUUCCUGCUGCCCCUAGAAUAUACCCAGGGGCUGCAGGCAACAAGAAGCCCCUCCAGGGUUGCUGCUUGAGCACAGCCCUCAGCAAGGUAGAGUGGGUACUGGUUCUGGUACCUGAGUCGGUGUGGCCCAGCACCCAGAGGCAGCUCAGAGACCAAUGGUGCCACAAAGCUGGAAGUUACUCAGUCACAUGCUGAGGCUUCACCCAGCAGAUCUAGGCAGGAAAUAGAGGAUAUGGUCUUAACUUGGGCUGCUGACACAAAUUCCCAUCAGAAGGACAACUAUUGCACAUAGAAGUGCUUUCCUCAUGCUCUUGGGCUGGGAGUCCAGGCCUCGGACACCAGCAUGGUUGAGUUCUGGUGACAGUCAGCUUCCUGGCUCGCACACGGCACCUUCUCAUUGUGUCCCCACUUGGUGGAGGCAGCAAGGAGCUUGGUGGAACAAGAUCUCCCGCGGUGACCUCUGUUCACUCCCAGAGGAGCUCCUCCUGGUGCCUUUGUCACUUUGGGUUUGGGGUCAGCAUGUGUUGUGAGGGGCAUAACCACCCAGGGCACUGCAGACCCAGACAACAAGACACCAGUUAGGACUGGAGCUAGGAUCCUGCCUCAGUUUAGCACACUCUAAGGAGAUGCCACCCUGCACCCACGGCUCUGGAUGCAUGCAUUUCCACCUGAGCUGCACUUUCAAGGUGUUGCAUUAGCAGGACAAGGCAGGGGCCCUUCCUAGAAGUGUCCUAGUCUUGUGCAUGUGACAGCUAUGUAGGCCAAGGGCUCCCCACUCAGUGCCUCCACAGAGACACAUUCUCCUGCAUCUAUACCCCAGGGAUAGCUCUGGAGCUCUACCAGCUACUCCUGAACUGUCACUGGGACAGGUCUUACCAGGGCUCUUAGCAUCCAACCUACCUUACCAGAGGGGACCUACCCUGCAGGAGUCCUGAGGCACAGAAGGAAUAUGAGUUUUGGGACCCAAGGGGCUUAGGCAUCUGAGGACCUGCUGGGGAGCCAGUUCAGGAACAAACAAAGACCCACACACCCCUCCUGCCCAUGGCUUCUCCAGCAGUUAAUCUACAUUUGCGCUCAGUCCACUCCUGCCAGGACCCAGGUAGUACCAGGAGCCUAGGCCUUGAGAGAAUGGCAGGAGAGAAGGAACAGAACUUGGGCCCACGUGGGGCCUGAUGACCCAUCCCCUGACCAUUCUGCCCCCCAAGAGGAUGCAGCCCAGUCCCCUGUGUUUCUAGGGCUUACCACACACCACUAAUGGAGUUAAAGGAAACCUAGAAAAACUUCUGUAAAAACUGUUCAUGGAUAAAGGGACACCCCUUCUAAACCCCUAGGAGGAGCCCCAGCCCAAUAAUGAGACAUAAUCAGACUUGACUUGGGCCAAACCCAGAUUCCAUUUGGCCAAAUAUGCUUUUCACCUCACCCAGCUUCUUCCAGACACACUUCUGAAUAACUCACCCUUGCAUCCCAGAGCUGUUGCCCAGUCUCCCUUUCUACCUGGACACAACUACAAAGAUUUGUGGGCAAACAGGACCCUCUGGACUCCAGUGGACCACAGACCAGGAAUCCCAAAGGAGACCAGGCAGGAGGAAUGUCAAAAGCAAAGAAACCAGCACAACUCAAAAUACCUCCUGAACAUAUCACACCCAACCUCAGAAAAUCAAAGAGAAACAAAGAUCUCAAAAGAAGAUUGAGAGAAAAAAACAUCCACCCAAAGAGGAACAAGGACAGGAGUUGUGCCCAGCUUCCCAGUGAAUCUUUGACAAGAAGAAGAUGCUUACAAAACUGAGAGAAAAUCUCCAACCUCCAACCUGUACCCUGUGAGAUUAUCCUUUGUCUAUCCUAUGAGUUUCAUUUCUCAUUGCUGAGACAAAAA